UGCUCACAGCGGGGCGGGCUGCGGGGUGAUACGGGUGGUGAGUGGUUGAUCGUAAUGCGUGGGCGUAAAUCGCACGUAGGGGGUUUGUGAAGUUAGAUGUGAAAGCCCCUGGCUCAACCUGGGAAGUGCAUUUAAAACUGUCCAGCGAGAGUCUUGUAGAGGGGGUGAGAAUUCCAGGUGUAGCGGUGAAAUGCGUAGAGAUCUGGAGGAAUACCGGUGGCGAAGGCGGCCCCCUGGACAAAGACUGACGCUCAGGUGCGAAAGCGUGGGGAGCAAACAGGAUUAGAUACCCUGGUAGUC
rnacentral:rRNA from 1 species